UGGAGAACGACAUCGACAUGUACGAUGGAACCGACGUAGACUCCGCCGGCGAUGACUUGUACGGCGACGACUUCAUCAACGGUGGAGACAGUGGCUCGGAGUCUUCCGGCGAUGAUAUCAUCGAUAAUGAUCCUGAUGAUCUUCCCCAUGACAAAAACUAUGUCGUUUUGUCCGAUGAUGAUAUCGGUCGUCUCAUGGAUGAUGAUAUCUCUAAGGUUUCUUCUGUUCUCUCUGUUUCCAGAACUGAUGCAUCUGCUUUACUCCGUCGGUAUAACUGGAGUGUGAAUAAAGUUCAUGAAGAAUGGUUUGCCGAUGAAUCCAAUGUUAGAGAAGCUGUUGGCUUGAAAAUUCAGGAGAAAGUUGUUCAUUCUCGGGAGGUAACUUGUGGAAUUUGCUUUGAGG
rnacentral:misc_RNA from 1 species